AUCUCACCCAAAUUUGCUUACAUUACAUGCACCUUUGAUGUUUCCAUAUGUUCCUUUGUUUCCUUCUCUCUACACUUAUUAUCCUGUCUUCAAACUUUGCUCCUGCCCAUCACAAACCCUAAAUUAAAAUUCUCAGCCUGUAACAACCAUCUUUGGCUUUAACAUGUUCUCUCUCCAUCUACAUCAAGAUGAAGAACCAAAUUACAACAAGGGUUUCCCACUAACAGAUUUAUCUCUAAGCUCAGGUGUCCAAAGAGCAGCCCAGCAGGAGCAAACCCACGUUCCAUAUGACUCACAUGGAAAUCUGGUUAAAUACAAGAGACACAGGAGCCUGGACGGUGAAGCAUUAACUAUAGCAACUGGGUCCUCUUCUAGUUUGCCCAAAUUCAGUACUCCCAGUGGAGUAUAUGGAGGUGGUCACAGCAGUGCUAGUCUUUCUGAUGUGGGUAGUGCAAGCCUUUGCCAACAGAGAAUGAGUGGCUAUGGGGCAGGGUUAAUGGCCGGUGGUGGCAGUGAAGUCACUAAGGCAAACCAAAUUCAUCACUCUGUAAUGUAUGGGCGGUUAAACGGUGGGGAAAUCGGCAAGAAAAUGAGUUGUUAUGGUAAUGGAAGAAGUGGUGUAACCUUUAGACAUUCAUCGGCAUCUGAGAAAAUCCGCCAUAGGAUGAUAAAAAAUAGAGAAUCAGCUGCUAGGUCUAGAGCAAGAAAACAGGCCCUGGAAGCUCAACAACAAUUGGAAAAUGCAGCACUCAAGAAGGAGAAUGACCUCCUAAAGAGGGUUGUAAGGUUUCUCUUGGCCAUUGUGAGGACAAAACGCAUGAAGUUGCCAACACUGGCUAGGAGUUUCUCAGCACCAUUCUAAAUUUUUGCACGUGGGCUUGGCACACCACAUACCUGGAGGCUUGGAUUAUGAAUAAAAUAAUAGUGAAAAAAAGAAGAUUAGCCUUCAACCUUAGGCAUACAGUGGAAUCCCUCAUGUUGUAUGUGGAGUUUUAGCUAGAAUGUGGUUUCAUGGUGUGAGAAAAAUCCAAGCAGGAGGCAUCUCAAGUGUACUACUGGAAAUUGCGAAUUUUUCGCUUGGCAUGAUGAGAGAUUCAACGAGCAUAUCUAUAACUUACUUUGACACAUAAAUAAGCAAGAAAAAAGUAUGAGUUGGCAGGCUUUUGUUUGAACAUGAUAUCUGAAAGAGCAAGAUCAAAAUGCUGAAGGAAAAAAGUAAGAAGUUUGAAUAAACUCAGAACGAGUUGAAAACUAUGAAGCAACUGAAUGGGCAACUAAAUAUGAAUGAGAUGCUUAAGAUUGUCGAGUUCGUGGUUGUUACAAUGUUAAGUUUUUUUUUUUUAAUCUCUGUAAAAGCUUAAGGUGCAGUGGUCUUUGUUUGUGGCUUUUGUAAGCCAAUGGGUUUAUUGCAACGGCAGUCCCUCAAGUUUCGCUUUUGUAACACCAUUAUCCUCAAUGACCAGUUAAAACUAAGUUUGUGGCUUU